rnacentral:rRNA from 1 species
GCCUCCCUCGCCGCCAUCCAGACUCCUACGGGAGGCAGGCAGUGGGAAUCGUUAGCACAAUGGGGGCAACCCGUGAUGCAGCGACGCCGCGUGAGCGAUGAAGCCUUCGGGUGUAAAGCUCUUUCGGCAGGGAAGAUAGUGACGAUACCUGCAGAAGCAGCUGCGGCUAACUACGUGCCAGCAGCCGCGGUAAUAC